GCGCCCAUAGCUCAGUUGGAUAGAGCGUUGGCCUCCGGAGCCAAAGGUCAGAGGUUCGAGUCCUCUUGGGCGCGCCA
rnacentral:tRNA from 1 species